rnacentral:tRNA from 2 species
GGGGCUGUAGCUCAGUUGGGAGAGCGCUACAAUGGCAUUGUAGAGGUCAGGGGUUCGAUUCCCCUCAGCUCCA